rnacentral:lncRNA from 1 species
UGCAAGCCUCCACUUUGACCACCCGGCUCCUAUACGAUGAGUGACGUCCCCGUCAAUCUCUCCGUCCCCCUGAAUCACAGACCCAAGAUAUCGGACACAGUCCUACUUAAUUGCAACUUGAAAUACUUAUUGAACAGUAACCAUUAAUUUUGACUGCCAUUUGAUGAGGCCAACUUUGAGUUUUAAAACCAAUUCAAGUUAAAAUCAGUAAUCACACAACUCAUAUGUCAAUUGACACCAAUUCAGUUUAACAGUAAAAAUAGUCCACAGUCCAGUCAUCUAAAUUUGAUUACAGAAUUCAAUUAAAAAAUCAAUAAUUAACUGAAUUCAACUAUGACUAAACGCAGGAAAUAAACAGGUUCAACAGAUGAAGAAUGAGAGAUUUCAUUUCACACUCUGAAAAUUACAUCACCAUGGUUUAAGACAUGUACCUGGGAUUGGAAUACAAAAUGAAGAUGAAGUCGAAGUCAGCUGAGGCAUUGAGAACAAAAAGCAGCAAUGCGAGUUCAAACAACAAAAAUUACACCAAGCUUCAAUCCAGAAAUGGAUCAGGAAUUCAAAAAUGCUUUAAGACCAACAGGAGAAGCAGAUCAAGCCAAAACAAACUCUACCAAACCCAAAUGACCUCCGAAAUGAGCCCAGGAAUACAGCACAGCAACACAACACCCAAAAUGAUCCUAAAAACCACUUGAAAACAACCAGAAACAGCUCUAAACUCCAAUCACCAGAAAUUGAGCUAAAGGAUCCAUCUCAACUACUAAAAAUCGAAAUUAAACUAGGAAAAAUGAAUGGAACAAUACUUGUUUUUUUUUUUACCUUCUAUAGCUUUUAUAUUUGUUUUUUAUUAUUUUUGGGCAGAGAAGUAAGAUUUAAAAGGAAAUUUCUACUCUAAAAGUUCAGAUUUGAACUACUAUGAAUUUGAAAUUCAAAUUGAGGCUCAGAUUUGCAGAGAGUUUUUGGGGGGAUUUUUGGGAUACAAAACUUCUUAUUCAAGGCACAAUUCAUGCAUUUUUAUAGGCCAAAGGAGGGGCAGCCCUCACAUUUUCUGUUUUCCCUAUUAGUCCCUGUUUAUUUUUCAUUUAGUCCUUUGUUUUCUAACUUGUUACUCAAGUAAGCACCCUAAGUUUACUAAAUACUUAUUCUAGAAUGUUCUAGGGCUUCUUAUUUCAGUUUUUAACAGAUUCCAAACCCUUGAACUACCCCAAUUGCCCUUAGCUUAUUCUUAGAAUUACUAACCUAUCCCAACCCUAAUUGAACCAUAGUUAAGCAAUCAUUGCAAUUUCAUUAAGCUAAAACUAGGUUCUCAUUCAAAUCCUAACCCUGAAUUAACUACUGAACUUUAAUUCACCAAUUACCAUCAACAAUUAAACAACUAAUUAAUUAACAAUCAAUUGAUGUGAAAUUCGCAUACUAAUCACAAUUUAAACGAACCAAAUUGAAACUAAACAGUCAAUCCAAAGAAAUGCCAAUCAAAAUAUAUAAAUGACCUCAAAGAUGUAAACAAAAGGGAAUUAAAACCAAUCCUAAACUAAUCAGUGGGCCUAACCUAUACUAGCAUGAACAAAUUUUAAAGAGAAUGCAUGAUUAAACCCCAAAAUCCAAAAUCAUGAGCAGAGAUAAUCAGAUACAGAAAAAAAGAAAUUAACAGGAAAAGAAAACUCAUUGAGUCAAACUUGUAAAGAAUAUGUUAAACGAAACCCAGGACCUCGGGGAAACAUGACGCACUAAACUUGCAUGCAAACCUGCUCAGGAACUUUAGGACUUGAACCUUUGAUUUAAAAUUCGAGCACCUCUGGCCAGAGUCAAGGCACACAGACUUAGAGUUUAGCAUGUGGAGAUGCCAGGGAAUCCAAGGUGUUAUUCUGAGGGUAAAUUGAGGCGCCGCUGCCACCAAAUGCUUUGGGGAUUUAAGACGGCGACUCUAGGAUUUCAGCGAUUCGAGGGGUUCACGGAGUUUUUGAGGGGAAUUGAUGGUAGAUUGGGGUUGAGGGAGUCAAGGCUAGCCUAUGGUGUGAAUUUGGGAGCGGUUGGGUGAGUUGGGAUCUUGACCAGAAAAUUUAGAUUCGAUAUUCGAACUGUCUGGCCAUGAUUCGAAGGAAACCAGUUAGGUAUUCAGAACGAGGGUGUUGAGGAGGGUUAGGGGUGUUAUUUUGGGUGGGAACAAGAUAGUUUCCGCCGUCGCCGCCGGCAGGUUUGACCAGAGGAUAUGGGGGCAACUAAAGUCUCUCUAGGAUUUAGGGUUGGGACGAUGGAGGGGUCUAGGGGGGG